rnacentral:rRNA from 1 species
CACCACCAGGAGUGGAGCCUGCGGCUUAAUUUGACUCAACACGGGGAAACUCACCCGGCCCGGACACCGUAAGGAUUGACAGAUUGAGAGCUCUUUCUUGAUUCGGUGGGUGGUGGUGCAUGGCCGUUCUUAGUUGGUGGAGCGAUUUGUCUGGUUAAUUCCGAUAACGAACGAGACUCUAGCCUAUUAAAUAGUUCGCCGGUUCGGUAAUCGCCGGCGUCUAACUUCUUAGAGGGACAAGUGGCGUUCAGCCACGCGAGAGUGAGCAAUAACAGGUCUGUGAUGCCCUUAGAUGUUCGGGGCCGCACGCGCGCUACACUGAAGGACUCAGCACGUCUUCUCUCCCGGCCAGAAAUGGUCGGGCAACCCGCUGAACCUCCUUCGUGCUAGGGAUUGGGGCUUGCAAUUCUUCCCCAUGAACGAGGAAUUCCCAGUAAGCGCGAGUCAUCAGCUCGCGUUGAUUACGUCCCUGCCCUUUGUACACACCGCCCGUCGCUACUACCGAUUGGAUGGUUUAGUGAGACCCUCGGACCGGUCCCGGCGGGGCGGGCGACCGCUCUGCCGAGGUUGCUGGGAA